rnacentral:rRNA from 1 species
GACGAACCGUGCGAACGUUGUUCGGAAUAACUGGGCUUAAAGGGAGCGUAGGCGGGCUAACAAGUCUGGGGUGAAAUCCCGCGGCUCAACCGUGGAACUGCCUUAGAUACUGUCGGCCUCGAGGGAGAUAGGGGCAUGCGGAACUAACGGUGGAGCGGUGAAAUGCGUUGAUAUUCACAGGAACUCCGGUGGCGAAGGCGGCACGCUGGACCUUUUCUGACGCUGAGGCGCGAAAGCCAGGGGAGCGAACGGG